UACGUAGGGGGGCAAGCGUUGUCCGGAUUUAUUGGGCGUAAAGAGCGUGUAGGCGGCCAGAUAGGUCAGCUGUGAAAACUCGAGGCUCAACCUCGAGACGUCGGUUGAAACCAUCUGGCUAGAGUCCGGAAGAGGAGAGUGGAAUUCCCGGUGUAGCGGUGAAAUGCGCAGAUAUCGGGAAGAACACCCGUGGCGAAGGCGGCUCUCUGGGACGGUACUGGACGCUGAGACGCGAAAGCGUGGGUACGCAAACAGG
rnacentral:rRNA from 1 species